rnacentral:rRNA from 1 species
UGGGGAAUAUUGGACAAUGGGCGCAAGCCUGAUCCAGCCAUGCCGCGUGAGUGAUGAAGGCCCUAGGGUUGUAAAGCUCUUUUGUGCGGGAAGAUAAUGACGGUACCGCAAGAAUAAGCCCCGGCUAACUUCGUGCCAGCAGCCGCGGUAAUACGAAGGGGGCUAGCGUUGCUCGGAAUCACUGGGCGUAAAGGGUGCGUAGGCGGGUCUUUAAGUCAGGGGUGAAAUCCUGGAGCUCAACUCCAGAACUGCCUUUGAUACUGAGGAUCUUGAGUUCGGGAGAGGUGAGUGGAACUGCGAGUGUAGAGGUGAAAUUCGUAGAUAUUCGCAAGAACACCAGUGGCGAAGGCGGCUCACUGGCCCGAUACUGACGCUGAGGCACGAAAGCGUGGGGAGCAAACAGGAUUAGAUACCCUGGCAGUCCACGCCGUAAACGAUGAAUGCCAGCCGUUGGAGGGUUUACUCUCCAGUGGCGCAGCUAACGCUUUAAGCAUUCCGCCUGGGGAGUACGGUCGCAAGAUUA